UACGUAGGGUGCAAGCGUUGUCCGGAAUUAUUGGGCGUAAAGAGCUCGUAGGCGGUUUGUCGCGUCGAAUGUGAAAACCCGGGGCUCAACCCCGGGCCUGCACUCGAUACGGGCAGACUAGAGUUCGGUAGGGGAGUCUGGAAUUCCUGGUGUAGCGGUGAAAUGCGCAGAUAUCAGGAGGAACACCGGUGGCGAAGGCGGGACUCUGGGCCGAUACUGACGCUGAGACACGAAAGCAUGGGGAGCAAACAGG
rnacentral:rRNA from 1 species